ACUCGAUCUCGGAUCGGGUGGGAAUCCCCCUCUGAACAUAAGCAUAUCUAUAACGGGGGAAG
rnacentral:rRNA from 1 species